rnacentral:rRNA from 2 species
UAGAGUUUGAUCCUGGCUCAGGAUGAACGCCGGCGGUGUGCCUAAUACAUGCAAGUCGUACGCACUGGCCCAACUGAUUGAUGGUGCUUGCACCUGAUUGACGAUGGAUCACCAGUGAGUGGCGGACGGGUGAGUAACACGUAGGUAACCUGCCCCGGAGCGGGGGAUAACAUUUGGAAACAGAUGCUAAUACCGCAUAACAACAAAAGCCACAUGGCUUUUGUUUGAAAGAUGGCUUUGGCUAUCACUCUGGGAUGGACCUGCGGUGCAUUAGCUAGUUGGUAAGGUAACGGCUUACCAAGGCGAUGAUGCAUAGCCGAGUUGAGAGACUGAUCGGCCACAAUGGAACUGAGACACGGUCCAUACUCCUACGGGAGGCAGCAGUAGGGAAUCUUCCACAAUGGGCGCAAGCCUGAUGGAGCAACACCGCGUGAGUGAAGAAGGGUUUCGGCUCGUAAAGCUCUGUUGUUGGAGAAGAACGUGCGUGAGAGUAACUGUUCACGCAGUGACGUAUCCACCAGAAUGACG